AUUGAACGCUGGCGGCAGGCCUAACACCUGCAAGUCGAGCGAGCGGCGGACGGGUGAGUAAUGUAUGGGGACUGCCCGAUAGAGGGGGCUAACUACUGGAAACGGGAGCUAAUACCGCAUACUAUCGGAUAACCCAUAUGGGAUUAGCUAGUAGGUGAGGUAAUGGCUCACCUAGGCGACGAUCCCUAGCGGGUCUGAGAGGAUGAUCAGCCACACUGGGACUGAGACACGGCCCAGACUCCUACGGAGGCAGCAGUGGGGAAUAUUGCACAAUGGGCGAAAGCCUGAUGCAGCCAUGCCGCUUGUAUGAAGAAGGCCCUAGGGUUGUAAAGUACUUUCAGGCGGGAGGCGUUACCGACAGAAGAAGCACCGGCUAACUCCGUGCCAGCAGCCGCGGUAAUAC
rnacentral:rRNA from 1 species